GACGUAGGGGGCGAGCGUUGUCCGGAUUUAUUGGGCGUAAAGCGCGUGUAGGCGGCCAGGUAGGUCUGCUGUGAAAACUCGAGGCUCAACCUCGAGAUGUCGGCGGAAACCAUCUGGCUAGAGUCCGGAAGAGGAGAGUGGAAUUCCCGGUGUAGCGGUGAAAUGCGCAGAUAUCAGGAAGAACACCCGUGGCGAAGGCGGCAUCCUGGACCGACACUGACGCUGAGGAGCGAAAGCCAGGGGAGCAAACGGG
rnacentral:rRNA from 1 species